GUGCUUGCACCUGAUUGAUUUUGGUCGCCAACGAGUGGCGGACGGGUGAGUAACACGUAGGUAACCUGCCCAGAAGCGGGGGACAACAUUUGGAAACAGAUGCUAAUACCGCAUAACAACGUUGUUCGCAUGAACAACGCUUAAAAGAUGGCUUCUCGCUAUCACUUCUGGAUGGACCUGCGGUGCAUUAGCUUGUUGGUGGGGUAAUGGCCUACCAAGGCGAUGAUGCAUAGCCGAGUUGAGAGACUGAUCGGCCACAAUGGGACUGAGACACGGCCCAUACUCCUACGGGAGGCAGCAGUAGGGAAUCUUCCACAAUGGGCGCAAGCCUGAUGGAGCAACACCGCGUGAGUGAAGAAGGGUUUCGGCUCGUAAAGCUCUGUUGUUAAAGAAGAACACGUAUGAGAGUAACUGUUCAUACGUUGACGGUAUUUAACCAGAAAGUCACGGCUAACUACGUGCCAGCAGCCGCGGUAAUACGUAGGUGGCAAGCGUUAUCCGGAUUUAUUGGGCGUAAAGAGAGUGCAGGCGGUUUUCUAAGUCUGAUGUGAAAGCCUUCGGCUUAACCGGAGAAGUGCAUCGGAAACUGGAUAACUUGAGUGCAGAAGAGGGUAGUGGAACUCCAUGUGUAGCGGUGGAAUGCGUAGAUAUAUGGAAGAACACCAGUGGCGAAGGCGGCUACCUGGUCUGCAACUGACGCUGAGACUCGAAAGCAUGGGUAGCGAACAGGAUUAGAUACCCUGGUAGUCCAUGCCGUAAACGAUGAGUGCUAGGUGUUGGAGGGUUUCCGCCCUUCAGUGCCGGAGCUAACGCAUUAAGCACUCCGCCUG
rnacentral:rRNA from 1 species